UACAGAGGUCUCAAGCGUUGUUCGGAUUCAUUGGGCGUAAAGGGUGUGUAGGUGGCGCCGUAAGUCGGGUGUGAAAUUUCCGGAGCUUAACUCCGAAACUGCAUUCGAUACUGCGGUGCUUGAGGGACUGGAGAGGAGACUGGAAAUUCAUGGUGUAGCAGUGAAAUGCGUAGAGAUCAUGAGGAAGACCAGUGGCGAAGGCGGGUCUCUGGACAGUUCCAUGACACUGAGGCACGAAGGCCAGGGGAGCAAACGGG
rnacentral:rRNA from 1 species